rnacentral:rRNA from 2 species
UCGGUUCCGCAACUAAGUCAUUAAGUAACCCACAUGGGGAGUUCGUCCGCAAGGGUAAAACUCAAACGAAUGGAAGGGGGACCGCACAUGCGGCGGAGCAUGUCGAUUAAUUGAACGCAACGCGAAGAUCGUUCCUAAGGCUUGACCUUCACCGGAAACGUAAGGAGACAGACGCCCCCUGAUAGUCGGCGUUCAGGUGGGACAUGGCUGUCGUCAGCUCAUGUCGUGAGAUGUUGGGUUAAGUUGAGCAACGAGCGCAGUCCUUGUCCCGUGUUGCCAGCAGGCCCUUGUGGUGCUGGGGACUCACGGGAGGCCUCCGGGGUCAACUCGGAGGAAGGUGGGGAGGAAGUCAAGUCAUCAUGCCCGUCAUGUUUUGGGUUGCACACGUGGUUCAACGGCUGGUACAAUGAGUGGUGAUACCGGGAGGUGGAGAGAAUCUCAAAAACAAGGUCUCAGUUCGGAUUGGGGUUUGCAUCUGGAUCCCCUGAAGUAGGAGUCGAUAGUAAUUGCAGAUCAACACUGGUAUCGGGAAUAAGUUCCCGGACCUUUACACGCCGCCCGUCACGUCACCAAACUAGGUAACACCCGAAGCCUGUGGCCCAACCCCUAUGCAAGGAGC